rnacentral:misc_RNA from 1 species
UCAGUCACGUUUUGGGCACGCCUAGCAGAAUGUAAGAUAUUGUAAAAUUACAAAGGUUGUCUUUGUAUCUUUGAUUAAAGAAUAAGGAAUCGUUCUUUGAGUAAUAGGAGGUGAAACCUUUGGUCGGGGCGUGAUCAAAUUUAAUAAAGCCCGAACGGCUUUAUGAUAUAUGUAGAUUUGAUUCGAGUUAAAACGAACAUGGGGCGUCAGGAGCUCUACGACCGAGCUACCCACGCCGAUAUCCACGGCCCUUCUAGCCCCAACUACUACACUAGUUAUGAUUGAACAACCAUGGAUCCCCGUUCUAGUGCCCAGGAUAUACACCGAUGUAGUCUUUGUGAGACCGCCAUAGUACACAGUUACUGUGACUUUUGCCAUGUGCACCUCUGCAAACCCUGUGUAGUAGAUCAUAUCUCAGAUGGAUAUUAUAAACAUGUAAUAGUCCCUUUCAACGAACGAAGAUCAACCCUCAUUUAUCCGAAAUGUGAAAUGCAUCCACAAAAAAGUUGUAAAUUUCAGUGCAAGGAUUGCAACAAUAGUUUUGUUUGUUCUUCUUGUAUGGCAUCAAAACAGCACAAAGGACAUAACUUUGUAGAAGUUACAGAAGUUUACAAGACAAUGAAAGAUGAUAUUAAGAAAGAUGCAAAAGAGUUAGAAUAUCAUAUUUCCCCUACAUAUGAAGAAAUUGCACUUGACUCAGAAAAUCAGCUUUCCAACCUGGAUGGAGGAUACGAUAACCUUACAACAACAAUAUCCAAACAAGGAGAACAAUGGCACAAAGAAAUCGACAUCGUUAUCAACGAAAUGAAAACUGAAAUCAGCAAGUUGAAAGUGAAACACAAAGAAAUUUUACAGAAACACUUAGCUAAAAUCAAACAGAUACAGUCCCUCAUAAAACAAACAAUUCUGGCCUUGAGGACACUUGAGAAAUCUACUGAAGUAUCCCAAACCUUUGAAUACAGCUCUAAGGUCAGUGAGUUCAGUAAGCCCCCACCCAAAGUUAAGGUUACACUGCCAACAUUCAUUCCAAAACCAAUAGACCACGAAAAGCUGUAUAGUUUGUUUGGGCAGAUCACCCCAUUAUUAUCUACUGAUACAGAAGAAAAUGUCCUGUCACUGAACCGACCCAAAACUUCAGCCAGAGAACUACUGGAUGAACCGGAGCUUGUUGCCACAAUACAGACUGGGCAUAAAUUUCUACGUAAUGUUACCUGUCUGAAUAAGAUAUGGACGAGUGGAGAGACCAAUGAUAUCAAAUGCUUCAACAUUAAAGGUUCACUCCUCCAGACAAUCGAACAAAAUUCAGGUAAUUUUCCCAAUGAUAUAGCUGUAGACAGUGAUGAGGAUCUAUUGUAUGUUAGUGGAGCAACAGGGACAGUAAAUAAAUUAAAGAAUGGAGUGACAGUAGAGUUGAUCAGAUUACCGGGGUGGACGCCUAGUAAACUGUGUGUCACUUCUUUUGGUCAUCUCCUAGUUACCAUGUACAGUGAUGAUAAAACGCAAUCCAAAGUUGUCCGUUACUGGAGGUAUACAGAGAAACAAACAAUUCAAUUUGAUGAUGUAGGUAACCCUUUGUUCUCAGGGAAUAGUAAUAAUAAAUACAUCACAGAGAACAGAAACCAUGACAUCUGUGUAGCUGACUGUGGGGCUAGUGCAGUAGUGGUGGUUACUCGGGAAGGGAAACUCAGAUGGAGAUACACUGGUAAUCGCUCAGUUACCAAGAACGACCCAUUUGAGCCCUUGGGUAUCAUAUCAGACAGUCAGAGUCGUAUCCUGACAGCAGACAGUGACAACCAUUGUAUCCACAUUCUUGAUCAGAAUGGACAAUUUCUCCGUUACAUAGAUAACUGUGAUCUGGAGGAUCCGUAUGGUUUAUACGUAGACGAUGAUGACAAUCUGUUUGUGUGCGAGUAUUACAAAGGCAAUGUUAAGAAAAUCAAAUAUCUAAAGUAGACAUCGUUACAUGUAAUUGCAAAAAUGUGAUGUAAAUCAAAGAAAACUGGCCUUUUUCUGUGAAUAAUGAAUGUCAUUGUUGGCAUUUUCUAUGAAACAAAUUAAGCUUUACUUUUGAAAUACUGUUGAAUUCAUAAUUGUAUUUUUUUUCAUUUCUAACAUUAAUAAGUAUAUU